CACGUAGGGCGCGAGCGUUGUCCGGAAUUAUUGGGCGUAAAGAGCUCGUAGGCGGCCUGUUGCGUCCGCUGUGAAAGCCCGGGGCUUAACCCCGGGUCGGCAGUGGAUACGGGCAGGCUAGAGUAUGGUAGGGGCAGAGGGAAUUCCUGGUGUAGCGGUGAAAUGCGUAGAGAUCAGGAAGAACAUCGGUGGCGAAGGCGCUCUGCUGGACCAUAACUGACACUCAGGGACGAAAGCUAGGGGAGCGAAUGGG
rnacentral:rRNA from 1 species